CUACCCGCACCACCACCUCCACUCUAAAAAUAUACCGGAUAAUGGAGUUGGGCCACCAUUGACCACAAGGCAAACCGGCGGAGCCACCAGAAUGCUGUCGGAACUGCUUGAAUCAUCGAAAAUCAUGUUGGAAUCCUCGAACUAUCGACGGAGCCACCGGAUCGCAAUCGAAAAUGCUGAAAGUACCGGCGAAUUUAUGACUUCGCUCACAAUGUCAUGGCAAAGCUGCACCAUAUAGAACCUGAGAAAUUUCAACGAUGUUUAUUAACUCUGAGGAGGUAAUUCCUUUAGUUUUCUGAUUUUCUUACUAGUGACAGGAACCAACGACUCUUGGUACCAAAUUUCUGAUAUAUUACUUUGUAUCAUUUCAUCGUUCUAGCUUGAUGUGAUGAAGAUGUACUUCUAUUCUUACGCACGGGUAAAGGUAUUGAAGCAACAUCAUUGAUUAGAGUUUAGUAUUAAGUGCUAGUCCCCAAAGAAGGAAGCUUCGUCGGAGAGUUGCUUAUCGCCUGCCUCCAAGGAAGUUGAGCGGGAUGAGGUGACUGCAAUACGGGAAUGGUGAGACUAGAAUGCAGUUAAGCAGUGGAAUUGACAGAUUCAAUGUCUUCGAUGAAAGAAGUUGUGGUCAGAAUUGCAGAUGGAUGUCGUCGAUGAAAGAAGCGGUGGUCGGAGAUGGAGAAGGAGGCUAGGCUCGACUGCAACUG
rnacentral:lncRNA from 1 species